CUCGGAGUUUGAUCCUGGCUCAGGAUGAACGCUAGCGGCAGGCUUAACACAUGCAAGUCGAGGGGUAUAGUUCUUCGGAGCUAGAGACCGGCGCACGGGUGCGUAACGCGUAUGCAAUCUACCUUUUACAGAGGGAUAGCCCAGAGAAAUUUGGAUUAAUACCUCAUAGUAUGUGAGAAUCGCAUGGUUUUCACAUUAAAGUUCCAAACGGUAAAACGAUGAGCAUGCGUCCCAUUAGCUAGAUGGUAACGGUAACGGCUUACC
rnacentral:rRNA from 1 species